rnacentral:rRNA from 1 species
CCUACGGGAGGCAGCAGUGAGGAAUAUUGGUCAAUGGCCGAGAGGCUGAACCAGCCAAGUCGCGUGAGGGAAGACGGCCCUACGGGUUGUAAACCUCUUUUGUCGGGGAGCAAAGCGAGUCACGUGUGACUCAUUGAGAGUACCCGAAGAAAAAGCAUCGGCUAACUACGUGCCAGCAGCCGCGGUAAUACGUAGGUGGCAAGCGUUAUCCGGAUUUAUUGGGUGUAAAGGGCGUGUAGGCGGGAAAGCAAGUCAGAUGUGAAAACUCAGGGCUCAACCCUGGGCCUGCAUUUGAAACUGUUUGUCUUGAGUGCUGGAGAGGCAAUCGGAAUGCCGUGGGUAGCGGUGAAAUGCGUAGAUAUACGGAGGAACGCCAGUGGCGAAGGCGGAUUGCUGGACAGUAACUGACGCUGAGGCGCGAAAGCGUGGGGAGCAAACAGGAUUAGAUACCCGAGUAGUC